rnacentral:misc_RNA from 1 species
GAAAUGCGAUAAGUAAUGUGAAUUGCAGAAUUCAGUGAAUCAUCGAAUCUUUGAACGCACCUUGCGCUCCUUGGUAUUCCUUGGAGCAUGCCUGUUUGAGUAUCAUGAAAUCUUCAAAGUAAAUCUUUUGUUAACUCAAUUGGUUUCUACUUUGGUAUUGGAGGUCUUUGCAGCUUCACACCUGCUCCUCUUUGUUCAUUAGCUGGAUCUCAGUGUUAUGCUUGGUUCCACUCGGCGUGAUAAGUUAUCUAUCGCUGAGGACACUGUAAAAGGUGGCCAAGGUAAAUGCAGAUGAACCGCUUCUAAUAGUCCAUUGACUUGGACAAUACUUUUAUGAUCUGAUCUCAAAUCAGGUAGGACUACCCUCUGAACUUAAGC